UCUAGUGAGAAAUAUACCAUUUUCUUUUAAAAUAUGCUUUCAUUUAGGACAUACAGUUUGUAGUUUGCUUGUUUCGUUCAACUUUUUCUCCCAAAAGCUCUGUGUUACGUUGGAGAAACACGUUAACUUUCAUUCAUAUCUGCAGACGUGCGCGUGGGUCACGUGACUAAUAUGUUUCUCUUUUUUUCCGCAGAAAAUUGUAAAAUAUGAGUGAAUAUGGACUGAUUUUUUUUUGAAAACAUUUCUAGCAGUAUAUAUCCCCUUUAUUUUCGUAAUAUUGCAGACAUGAAGUUGUUAGUUUGUUACGUUCAACUUUUCCUCAAAGGAUCUGAAAGCGUCUGAUCUUUUCCAUUCAUAUAUGCGGGCUGACGUGGGUCACGUGACGUGCCUUUCUCUUUUUUUUCCUGUGGAAAAUCUCGUAAAAAGCCAGUGAACGCAGCGUCAUACGGGCACCCCCACCCCAAUCCACCGGAAACCCCCGGAUGAACCCGCAGGAAGGCGCGCGGCUGAAGAACUUCUUGGACAGCUGGAAGGUGGGCGAUGAUUUGAACUUUUCUCUGUAGAAAUGUAAUGUUUAGAUUUGGGAAACCAGAGAUGGGUUUUAGUAAAAACGUGUUGGCUGUUUAGGAUUAACGUUGAAUGACGAGGCGUUUUUCCAUCUUAAACUUAAAAGGCCGCAGCAUCACGGUGAAGGCCUCUUCUGUAGAGGACGGGGGCGGAAACGUCACGUGGUCUCCGCAGAGACUGGUCAGUUAUUUGGAGACAACAUGUACAAAUAGUUCCUGGACUGAUCUUCUGCUAACUUUGAGGUGGAGAGGCUGUCAGGUUCAUCUGUUUCAGGGUCCUGCAUGCUCUCCCUCCAUGUUGGCUGUAGCAGUGGAUGGAACUUGCAAAAUGUACUGUUUUGAGAGCCAACUGGGGCUCAGUGGUUAUUUUGAAGAUGCGUUUCUGACCAAAAACACUGUGGAGACCUCCUUUGUGAACUGCAUUCAUGCGGAAAUAGAACAUAAUCCUGGAGAUGGGAGAUGUGGAGCAGGAAAGUUUGUGGCAGCACCAGAGUCCUCCAAAAAGUCUUCUGGCAAAGUAAAUGAGGAAGGAUCGCAGUCUGCCAUCGUGGAGUUUUGCUGAAAGGCCUGAACACGUUCCAUCCAUGCAUCCAUCUUCUUCCAUUCAUCAGGAACCAGGUUGUGAGGGCAGCAGUCUAAGCAAAGAUGCCCACACUUCCCUCUCCUCCAGCUCCUCUUGGGGGAUCCCGGGGCCAGCUGAGAGACGUAGUCUCCCCAGCGUGUCCUGGGUCUCCCUUAGGGCCUCUGCCCAGUGAGACAUGCAUGGAACAACCCCCCCCACCCCACCCCCCCCAGGGAGGCGUCCUCCUCUGGAUGUAGAGAGGAAGUGGCUCCACUCAGAGCUCUCUCCAGGUGAGCGAGCUUCCUGAACCUGUUCCGUUGAGAUAUUUUCAUGAACCCCUUCUAUUUGCAGAAACGGCUUUCUCCACAGACCGUGCAGUUCUUCUGCUCUGAUGUAGUCUACGAGUUCUGAUCGCAUUUGGAGAAGGUUGGCGUUCCUUGUCCUGAGAGGCAAGACCUGUUGAACAUGUGUCCUUUUCAAGUUUACUCUUGGAUGUGUGAGUUUGCAAAUAUACAUUUUGGUUGAAAUGAUGAGGAUCCGAGGAUGAAAUCAAGAAGGGACAACAUCAGGGAAAGGGACUGAACCGACUGAACAGCUUCCUCUCUUCAGCAGACACAUGUUCCGAGUACAUAUGUGUCAAAUAUUGACAUCCUCGCCGUUCAGGCCAGUGGCUGGAACAAGCGGAAGUCAGAAAAGCUGGAGCAGACGUAACCAGAAUGAUACCUCCAGGACCAAUCCAAAUGACCCAGAGAAAAACACUGAAGGGCUUUGUCUGAGCAUCAGGAAAACAAGAAUCAGCAUAUGGUUAUGGUGCCAUGGUGAAGAACUAAAGGCUCUAUGAUGUCAUGCUGCUGACCAGACUGUGGUUGGUGAAGUCCAGCAGCACUGCGGGUCCUUGAAGUGUGGUUGAAGAGCUCUCCUCCCAGCUUUUGGAAGGUUCUGCCCCGCAAAGCCAGGAGGUUUCUCUUUGUGAUCUGCAUGGAUGUCCAGGGCUUGUGGCAUUUAUGUGUUUUCCUCUUCAUUUCAU